CAGCGAGCGUGUGGUUUAAUUCGAUGUUACACGAAGAACUUUACCAGGGUUUGACAUGCAAGUGUGGAAGCCGAAAGGUGACCGACCCUUCGGGGAGCUUGCACAGGUGCUGCAUGGCUGUCGUCAGCUCGUGUCGUGAGAUGUUCGGUUAAGUCCGCUAACGAGCGCAACCCUCGCUGUGUGUUAUAUGUGUCACACGGGACUGCCGGUCUUAAGCCGGAGGAAGUGGGGAUGAUGUCAAGUCAGCAUGGCCUUUAUAUCCUGGGCUUACACACACGCUACAAUGGCCAGCACAGUAGGUUGCUAAGCCGCGAGGUGGAGCCAAUCCAUAAAGCUGGUCUCAGUUCAGAUUGCAGGCUGCAACCCGCCUGCAUGAAGAUGGAGUUGCUAGUAACCGCAGGUCAGCUAUACUGCGGUGAAUACGUUCCCGGGGCUU
rnacentral:rRNA from 1 species